rnacentral:rRNA from 1 species
AUUCCAGCUCCAAUAGCGUAUAUUAAAGUUGUUGCAGUUAAAAAGCUCGUAGUUGAAUUUUGGACUUGGCUGGUUGGUCUUUGCGAAAGCAAAGUACUAUUCCGGCUGAGUCUUUCCUUCUGGCGAACAAUUGUGCUAUUUAUUUAGUGCGAUUGGGAACCAGGACUUUUACUUUGAAAAAAUUAGAGUGUUUAAAGCAGGCUUACGCUUGAAUACAUUAGCAUGGAAUAAUAAAAUAGGACUUUGGUUUUAUUUUGUUGGUUUUCGAAACCAAAGUAAUGAUUAAUAGGGAUAGUUGGGGGCAUUAGUAUUGAGCCGUCAGAGGUGAAAUUCUUGGAUUGGCUCAAGACUAACUUCUGCGAAAGCAUUUGCCAAGGAUGUUUUCAUUA